UACGGAGGGUGCAAGCGUUAUCCGGAUUCACUGGGUUUAAAGGGCUCGUAGGCGGUCUGUCGCGUCGGUAGUGAAAACUCAGGGCUUAACCCUGAGCCUGCUUCCGAUACGGGCAGACUAGAGGUAUGCAGGGGAGAAUGGAAUUCCUGGUGUAGCGGUGAAAUGCGCAGAUAUCAGGAGGAACACCAGUGGCGAAGGCGGUUCUCUGGGCAUUACCUGACGCUGAGGAGCGAAAGUGUGGGGAGCGAACAGG
rnacentral:rRNA from 1 species